rnacentral:lncRNA from 1 species
UAACUAGUCUAAUAACCAACAGUUCACAUGCCCUCGGCACAAUCUGUCGCCAAAAAGGCGAUCGGGGUCCAACGUAAACUCUGACGGCACCCAACAGUCCGAAACAGCCCAAAAUCCACUCGGCGUACCAGCACGAGCGUAAAUGUGUUCUAAACUACCUGGAGUACUCGUCUCUAGGAUACUGCGACAGUACAAUUUUAUAACAGUUCCUAGAGCUAAAUCAGGCAGUUUAAACAAGUGACAGGUCCAAAUCGCAGGUUUUCUCGUAAUUCAAAUUCCAAGUCCAACAUGUAUAAACUACUCAAUUUAUUACCACAUGCUCCAAAUUCAGAUUUGCAAUCUACCAUAUGAUCCAUGAAUUCGAGCUAGAAUAGACUAUACUAAAAUUAAAUUUUACACAUGUCGACGAUUAGAACUUAGGAGUCAAAACCGAUGUAACCCACCUCGAUUGCUAAACCCCGGCAGCGAGGAGGUCACCAAAAAUCCCCAAAUCCACUGGAAAAACCAGGGUGUCCAGCUCAAGUUCGAAAUCGCCCUGCACACAUCGCAACGAAGAACUCCUACUCAAAUUCUGUCCGAAACACAGCAGCAAA